rnacentral:tRNA from 1 species
GCCCAGCUGGCUCAGUUGGUAGAGCAUGUGACUCUUGAUCUCGGAGUCCUGAGUUCAAGCCCCAUGCUGGGCA